rnacentral:rRNA from 2 species
AGACCCGAAACCCGGUGAUCUAGCCAUGGGCAGGUUGAAGGUUGGGUAACACUAACUGGAGGACCGAACCGACUAAUGUUGAAAAAUUAGCGGAUGACCUGUGGCUGGGGGUGAAAGGCCAAUCAAACCGGGAGAUAGCUGGUUCUCCCCGAAAGCUAUUUAGGUAGCGCCUCGUGAAUUCAUCUCCGGGGGUAGAGCACUGUUUCGGCUAGGGGGCCAUCCCGGCUUACCAACCCGAUGCAAACUGCGAAUACCGGAGAAUGUUAUCACGGGAGACACACGGCGGGUGCUAACGUCCGUCGUGAAGAGGGAAACAACCCAGACCGCCAGCUAAGGUCCCAAAGUCAUGGUUAAGUGGGAAACGAUGUGGGAAGGCCCAGACAGCCAGGAUGUUGGCUUAGAAGCAGCCAUCAUUUAAAGAAAGCGUAAUAGCUCACUGGUCGAGUCGGCCUGCGCGGAAGAUGUAACGGGGCUAAACCAUGCACCGAAGCUGCGGCAGCGAACGUAUCACCCAAGACAACUUUACGGAGUUGACGAUUGACGGAGCGAAGCGACGUCAAAGCGUUCAUUAAAGUCGAGUUGGCUUAGGGAUACGUUCGUUGGGUAGGGGAGCGUUCUGUAAGCCUGCGAAGGUGGCCUGUGAGGG